rnacentral:rRNA from 1 species
AGCGAACGCUGGCGGCAGGCCUAACACAUGCAAGUCGAACGAACCCUUCGGGGUUAGUGGCGGACGGGUGAGUAACACGUGGGAACGUGCCUUUAGGUUCGGAAUAACUCAGGGAAACAUGUGCUAAUACCGAAUGUGCCCUUCGGGGGAAAGAUUUAUCGCCUUUAGAGCGGCCCGCGUCUGAUUAGCUAGUUGGGUAGGUAAUGGCUCACCAAGGCUACGAUCAGUAGCUGGUCUGAGAGGAUGACCAGCCACAUUGGGACUGAGACACGGCCCAAACUCCUACGGGAGGCAGCAGUGGGGAAUCUUGCGCAAUGGGCGAAAGCCUGACGCAGCCAUGCCGCGUGGAUGAUGAAGGUCUUAGGAUUGUAAAAUCCUUUCACCGGUGAAGAUAAUGACUGUAGCCGGAGAAGAAGCCCCGGCUAACUUCGUGCCAGCCGCCGCAGUAAGAC